rnacentral:rRNA from 1 species
GACGAACGCUGGCGGCGUGCUUAACACAUGCAAGUCGAACGGAAAGGCCCUGCUUGCAGGGUACUCGAGUGGCGAACGGGUGAGUAACACGUGGGUGAUCUGCCCUGCACUUCGGGAUAAGCUUGGGAAACUGGGUCUAAUACCGGAUAGGACCGCACUUUAGUGUGUGUGGUGGAAAGUUUUUUCGGUGUAGGAUGAGCGGGCGGCCUAUCAGCUUGUUGGUGGGGUAAUGGCCUACCAAGGCGGCGACGGGUAGCCGGCCUGAGGGGGUGUACGGCCACAUUGGGACUGAGAUACGGCCCAGACUCCGACGGGAGGCAGCAGUGGGGAAGAUUGCACAAUGGGCGCAAGCCUGAUGCAGCGACGCCGCGUGGGGGAUGAAGGCCUUCGGGUUGUAAACUCCUUUCGCUAGGGACGAAGCUUUUUGUGACGGUACCUAGAUAAGAAGCACCGGCUAACUACGUG